GACAAAACAGGGAUUGUCAUUAAGUCGGU
rnacentral:piRNA from 1 species